GUCUGGUGUGGCAGCCAGACAAGCAGCAGCUGGAGACAAGAAGCCCCCAGCUAGGAGCUAGGGCCUCCGAAGUAGGAGUCGUGAUGCUGGCGUCCUGGCCUGAAGAUGGGUUCAGUUUGCACAGCAUCUGUCUUCCAAAUUGGCAACUCCACAUCUUCUCAGACAAUCCAUUUUAAGAUAUGGAUCUGCGGCAUGGUGAGUGCCAAGCCUAUGAAAGUCCAUACGUGCCACAUUUUCUUCCCAGUCUUGCAGUGUGUGGACAUUUGCCUCCUCAUUUGGGACUUUGUGGAGGCAGAAAAAGGCAAUCACGGAGAGGGGGCAGGGAGGCCAGAAACAGCGCAAGCCGAACCCUCCAACCCCCACCCUCCCUACCAUAUGCUUCUAUGGGUGGAAGUAGAUAGGCUUUGGGGUGAAAUAGAGUGAUUCUGUGAUACACUCACCUCCCAAAGCAAAACAGGGGCAGCUAUUUGCUGCAGAGUGGCUGUGGAGGAAAGGGCAGCGUCAGGCCCUUAGCCGGGUGAGGGAGGCCCUUGUAGGGCAUGAGCUAACUGGAGGACCCCCAGUCGGGUGGGUAAUGGAAGCCAAGCAUCCUCUUAGCUCGGGGAAGACCUGGCAGCCAUGAUCCAGCUCCUGGGCAGGCACAGCGACCAACACUGCCCAGCAACUCCCCAUAGGCCCACGGGCUACCAUCUGGAGCCAGACAGGGGUUCUCUACCCCUCCAACCUGGCGGGACGUUAAAUGUCACAUCCUCUCGGGGAUGUGGCCCAGCCAAGGACUGCCCUGACAGUCCGCCUCAGAGAGGCAGGGCCUGACAAGUUUUUGCUGGAAGGUACAUCCUUUUGGGAGAAGGAAAGGCCCAUCCCCAAAUCUAAUUCUAAACAAGGCCUGUUACUAAUGACUGUGUGGUAAGCCAGCUCAGCCGUCCACCUGCUCCAGCCCCUGGAAAAGCUGUGAAGGUACGUGGAAUCAUUACUAGCCUUCCCUGAGCCCAAGACCAUCUCUCAGAGGUCUCCAGGUCACUGGGGCCGAACGGGGAUCCCCAGCCGUCCUCUGCUACCAUGAGACGCCCCACAUGUCCUUUCAAUGCCUGCCCCUACAAUGACCAUUCAUUCAGUCUCCAAGGCCCAGGCCCUACACCAGCCCACAGCCAAUACCACCUGUGAAUCUCGCCAUGCGCUUUGGCUUUCAAGCAGGACAGAUGCCAAAUGACGAUACAUUCUAAUUCUGAAUCCUCAAAACUUGCUGAGAACAUAGGGAAGUGAUCGAUAGUUUCACCUUUGAGUAUUGAAAUUUAUUCCCAUCGGUGUUCAAAUGUAUACGCUGCCCACCCCAAAAAUGCAGACGCCCUUCUGGCCACACAGAGGGAGGCCUGGCGCCUCUGGUCACGUCCACACCUCGCCUAGCACCCCCAUUGCAUUGUGAAGUCUGGAAAGAGUCAUUCUUAUCUCAAGCCAGCCACACCAACCCCUGCCCUGGCGCCUCCUGGGACAAAUGCCUGUGGCCCAGGAGUGGAGAACUGUACCUUGUUUCCAAACAGGCCAUCUGUCUGGAACUGGCCUCUCUUCACUCCCUGACUCAUCAAUAAAUCUGUCUGCCUUUUUUCUCA